CGCAACUCCGCCAUAGCCAAGAGUGGAGUUGUACAGAAUCUCCGUUUUCUCCUUUCUCUAAUUCUCUCUUUAACUACCAGAUCCAGGUAACAAACGAAGGGCACCUGCGAGGGUUGGGUUGCUCUUUUGAUGUUUAUUUAAUAGUUGCUGGAAUAAGUCAAUUAUAAUUCUGACGUAAAUUGGAGCAACUUCACCGGCCAGUUAGGGUGAUUAUCACUUAGG
rnacentral:misc_RNA from 1 species